rnacentral:rRNA from 1 species
AUUGAACGCUGGCGGAAUGCUUUACACAUGCAAGUCGAACGGCAGCACGGACUUCGGUCUGGUGGCGAGUGGCGAACGGGUGAGUAACAUAUCGGAACGUAUCCAAUAAUGGGGGAUAACUAAUCGAAAGGUUGGCUAAUACCGCAUACGCCCUACGGGGGAAAGCAGGGGAUCUUCGGACCUUGCGUUAAUGGAGCGGCUGAUAUCUGAUUAGCUAGUUGGUGAGGUAAAGGCUCACCAAGGCGACGAUCAGUAGCUGGUCUGAGAGGACGACCAGCAACACUGGAACUGCGACACGGUCCAGACUCCUACGGGAGGCAGCAGUGGGGAAUUUUGGACAAUGGGCGCAAGCCUGAUCCAGCCAUUCCGCGUGAGUGAAGAAGGCCUUCGGGUUGUAAAGCUCUUUCGCAAGGAAAGAAAACUUACUCUCUAAUAAAGAGUGAGGUUGACGGUACCUUGAUAAGAAGCACCGGCUAACUACGUGCCAGCAGCCGCGGUAA